AUGCUCCCCUCAGCAGCACAUACACCAAAAUUGAAAGGGUACAGAGAAGAUGAGUGGGGUCCUUGAGCAAGGAUGACACACAAAUUCAUAAAGCAUUCCAUUAAAGA
ensembl:snRNA U6 U6 spliceosomal RNA